rnacentral:rRNA from 1 species
UACGGAGGGUGCGAGCGUUGUCCGGAAUCACUGGGCGUAAAGGGCGCGUAGGCGGCUGGGGAAGUCGGCGGUGAAAGCCCGGAGCUCAACUCCAGAACUGCCUUCGAUACUGGAAAGCUCGAGUCCGGGAGAGGUGAGUGGAACUGCGAGUGUAGAGGUGAAAUUCGUAGAUAUUCGGAAGAACACCAGUGGCGAAGGCGACUUACUGGACACAUAUUGACGCUGAGGUGCGAAAGCGUGGGGAGCAAACAGG